AGUAAGUGAACACUUAAUAUUCACAUUAAUCUUCUUACAAAGUAAGCACAGGAGGUGAAAAUCAUUACUAAAUGGCUUUUCGGACCAAUCAAACUCUCCUUUUGGGCCUGCUAUGCAUUGUUUUGCUUUUGGGUUCAGGACAAGCGAAUGUGGAUUUUAAUCCUCCGGGACUAAUCUGCCUAAGAGGAGCAUGCGGAGGUAAUACACAGUGCGUUCAAAGAUGUGUUAGCAGUGGCCAUGGGAAAGGGGGCUCAUGCGUAGGAUUCAUUCCUGGGGUUAUCUUGUGCUGCUGUUACAAAUGACUUAUGAUGUCUUGUCGAUCCUUUUCAAUGUAUCAAAAUUAAAUAAACAUACCCUAAUUUAUCUUUGAAUCUUCGACAUAGGAUUAAUUUUGUGUAAAAGGAUCGAACUUGAUUAUCAAUGAAUGCAUUACUUUAAUUGAAAUAGUCUUUCACA